rnacentral:rRNA from 1 species
GGCAAGUCGACGACCCCCAGACUUCGGUCUCAAUGGGAGAGUGGCGAACGGGUGAGUAACACGUGAGAAACCUACCCCGGAGAUGGGAAUAGCCCAGGGAAACCUGGAUUAAUACCCAAUACCCUGCCUGCACCUCAUGGUGCGUUCAGGAAACGCUCCGGUGCUCCGGGAGGGUCUCGCGGCCUAUCAGCUUGUUGGUGAGGUAACGGCUCACCAAGGCAUCGACGGGUAGCUGGUCUGAGAGGACGAUCAACCACACUGGGACUGAGACACGGCCCAGACUCCUACGGGAGGCAGCAGGAGGGAAUAUUGCCGCAAUGGGGCAAAGCCUGACGCAACGACGCCCUGGGGGAA